CCGGGCUAAUUUGACUCAACACGGGGAACCUCAUCAGGCCAGGACACCGGAAGGAUUGACAGAUUGAGAGCUCUUUCUUGAUUCGGUGGGUGGUGGUGCAUGGCCGUUCUUAGUUCGUGGAGUGAUUUGUCUGCUUAAUUGCGAUAACGAACGAGAUCCUACCCUACUAACUAGUCGAAACCGGCAUCCCCUGUGCAGCCGGCGACCAACACUCUUCUUAGAGGGACAGGCGGCUUCCAGCCGCAGGAAGUGGGGCAAUAACAGGUCUGUAAUGCCCUUAGAUGUUCUGGGCAGCACGCGCGCUACACUGAAGGGAUCAACGUGUGUUUUCCUUGCUCGAGAGGGCCGGGUAACCCGUUGAAACUCCUUCGUGCUAGGGAUUGGGGCUUGCAAUUAUUCCCCACCAACGAGGAAUGCCUAGUAAGCGGGAAUCAUUACUUCCUGCUGAUUAAGUCCCUGCCCCCA
rnacentral:rRNA from 1 species